rnacentral:lncRNA from 1 species
UAAAAAGAAAGAAAAAGCAAGCAGAAAAAAGAAGGGCACGUUCUACUUGUUCCUGUAGUCUUCGUUUUAGCCAUUUACACCUCCAAUCCAAGUCUGUCUCUCUGAGAUCAGGUGCUAGCAUCAGGUUAGUGGGUUUUUAUUUUCCUUCCCAAUCUCUAAAAUGGCACUUGUAUUUUAUCAAUUUCCCAUAGCAUUUGUAAUUUGUAAGUUUAAUAUGUAUUUCUCAAUAACUGGGUUGUUCUUGGAAUCAUUUCUUCCAUUGCAGCUGGCCGGGUUUAUAUUUAAGCUUUUACAUCUUCAAUCUGACUCGGGUAUUCAUGAUUUUUAUCUAUUACGCAUAGAUUUACAUGUGUUUUGAGCUUUACCGCUCUAUUUGAGGGGAUUCGAUUUCCUAGGUUGCUAGGUUUUGCGUCCCAUUGUUGGAAAGGCCAAGUUUGGUACUCUGGGGUUGUCCCAUUUUUGGAAAAGGCUAAGGUACUGUUGUUUGUGGCAGAAUGCUAUUAGGUUUUAUUUUUUCUGAAUAUUUUAGAAUUGGUGUAAAAUGUUGUUGUUUUCUGGGUCAACAGGCUGGUCAUUGGAGCUUAGUUUUCAACUUAUGAAAAAAUCUCAAUAACAUAACCGAUUCAUCAAAGAUCUAGUUAAUAAUCAGCCUGGAAGAGUUCAUUUCAGUCCUAUGUUUUAGAUACUAAGGUCGUAGUCCUCACCGGAAUUUUAUAUAUUCUCCACAUCAAGGUUAGGAAACUGAGAAAGCACAAACAAGUGCUCUAUGAUUCGCCUACAUGGUCUAAAUCUACUUAGGUAUUGUAAGCAAUGCGGAAUUUUCAUCUACAAAUAGAUGUGGACUCUUGCAUAGCCAUCAGUGAACAGCUGAUGACUUGGCAGCUGCAUUUAAACAAUCAUCCCUGGAUACCUUCAUACUCUUUGGUGCAGUUGCCCGUGUCCAUUUACCAAAAAAUGCAAAUAGGACUGCAUGUCUUUGAGACAAUGGCAACUUCAUUACAAAUGUGAAAUCAAUUUCUCCGGAGAAUCAUUCUAUGCUUUCAUUUUCUGCUGCACAGAAAAAGUUGUUGAACUGUUCUCCUUUUUCUCAUUUACGUAUUAGAUUGAAGAGGGGAUCGGGAAUGGGGAUUAAAUGCCUAAAACUCAGACGCAUUUGUAGCUUAUAUGAAAUAAGUUCUUCAUUUUUCAGGUAAAUGGGUUUGAUGACACUACUUGAAGGCUUUCUGCUUCUUGCAAAUGCACUAGCAAUAUUAAAUGAGGACCGCUUCCUUGCGCCUAGAGGAUGGAGCCUUGCAGAAUUCUCAGUGGGCAGGACAAAGUCAGUCAAGGGACAGAUUAUAGGUCUCAUUUACGCAACACAGUACUUGAGAGUUCCUCUCGUACUACUCAAUACCGUCUGCAUUGUUCUAAAAUUGAUAUCUGGGUGAUGCAAAAUUAGGUAAGAUAAAGAUUUCUAUGUUUAAGGGAUAAUAUCCUCGCUUUUUUCUUAUUUGCAUUUGUUUGUUAAAUAUUGUAAGAUUAGUACAAAGUUCUAAACCCACACUCUUUGUAUUCUUCUGUUUUCCCCUAGUAUCAUAGUGUCCAAACAAACUUACUGUUGAGCUUUCGCUCAGGUGAGGUUUCUUUACUACUCUGUUGAAGUGUGUGUUAACUCUUAACAUUUUUAUCUGCACAGCCCUGAGCCAAUAUCUCCUGGUUUGAUGUAGUAUUAUGCAGUUGAUAAUUCAAUAGUAUUUUGACAACAUAUGAAAAUGCCAUACUUUACGUUCACCCUACAAUAAUAAAGGCGACGGAACAAGUGAAAAUUUGGUUAAUUAGGAAAGUAUGCAUCUCAUAUCAAUUAUUCUACCAAGUAGCCACAACUGGUUGCAAAGUUGUUCUUACCUUUGUAUUGUGCACAGGAAUAUUGUUAACACUUAGAUUUAAUGUUCAGUCUAAUGGAACACUAUUAUAUCUAUGAGAGCAUUCUUUCACUCGGGGUGGUCAUCACCUUAGCUUGGCUAGGUUCUUUUCUGUCUGGGUAAAAACUGCUAAUGUCAUAAUUUUAUCCAUAAUGUCAAUGAAAUUAUCUUUUCUUUCUGAAUGGUUGCAGAUUGUUCUGAAGAUUCAUCAAAGUGAUAUGGGAAAUCUGCCAAAUGGAUCUCCGGUUUCUUGGAAGGCUGAAGCAUUAGGUUGAUUGAUAUUGUUUGAUUGUUGUAAUUUUGAAAUAGCUCUUGCACCUCAUUGUUCGGAAACUAUUUGCCAACAUAUCAAUUGUGCAUUUUAACGUCAUUCUCUGUCUCUCAUCCUUCCUUGCCUUUCACUUUUCUAUCUGUUAGCAAUCAAAAUUCCCUUAAAAUUUAUUCAAGGAUAUUGCUUCGAAUGUGU